CAAUCUGCCUUGGAGUGGGGAAUAACGGUUGGAAACAGCCGCUAAUACCGCAUGAUGCGUCUGGGAGGCAUCUCUCUGGACGCCAAAGAUUUAUCGCUCUGAGAUGAGCUCGCGUCUGAUUAGCUAGUUGGCGGGGCAACGGCCCACCAAGGCGUCGAUCAGUAGCCGGACUGAGAGGUUGGCCGGCCACAUUGGGACUGAGACACGGCCCAGACUCCUACGGAAGGCAGCAG
rnacentral:rRNA from 1 species